rnacentral:rRNA from 1 species
AAGUCGUAACAAGGUCUCCGUAGGUGAACCUGCGGAGGGAUCAUUACCGAGUUAGGGUCUCACCGGCCCGAUCUCCCAACCCUUUGUCUACUUGACCAUCGUUGCUUCGGCGAGCCCGUCCUCACGGACCGCCGGGGGGUCUUUGUACCCCUUGGCCCGCGCUCGUCGACAGCCCCCAAAUUUAAAAAAUCUUAACUAAACGUGUCUUGAAUCUAAGUAUUAUUGUUAAAUAAAAACAAAACUUUCAACAACGGAUCUCUUGGUUCUGGCAUCGAUGAAGAACGCAGCGAAAUGCGAUAAGUAAUGCGAAUUGCAGAAUUCCAGUGAGUCAUCGAAUCUUUGAACGCACAUUGCGCCCUUUGGUAUUCCGAAGGGCAUGCCUGUUCGAGCGUCAUUAUCACCCCUCAAGCCCUCGGCUUGGUGUUGGACGGCUUGGUGGAGACCCCCUUUGCGGGCUUCUACCCCUCCCAAAGACAAUGACGGCGGCCUCGUUGGACCCCCGGUACACUGAGUUCUUCACGGGACACGUAUCGGACACAUGGGUUCACGGGACACGGUCUGCCUCCCCUCAGGGAGAAUCUUUUUUUAUCAAGGUUGACCUCGGAUCAGGUAGGGAUACCCGCUGAACUUAA